UUUAUUGGCUUGGGCCAGCAGCUCCUGCCGUUUUUCUCCCAGUCACCUGAAGGGAUCCCCCAUGGGGCUGAGGCAGAGCACGAUGUGCAGGUUGUUCUGCACGCGUUCAAUGAGUAGGAAGGACUCAUCAGCUAUUUGGGUGUCCACAAAAAUGAAGGACGUGGUCUUGAGCUCCACCCCAGCCUGGCGAUACAGACGCUUGAUAUCUGGCUUCAGAAACCCAGCCGUACCAUCUCGGAACUCCUGCUUCCGAUAAUGUUUGGUGACCUCGAUCUGGAAGGUGGUGUAGUCGCAGAUGGAUGAAGCCAGGCGGGCCAGACUCUGGCGUCCGCUGCCCCCGAUACCCACCAGGAGCAUGUUGCCCCGAGGCUGUCCAAUGACCCGCACGAUCCGUGUGACUGGG
rnacentral:lncRNA from 1 species